GAAAAAGAUCGCCAAAGAUGGUGCAUCACACAAACGGUUGAGUAAGGAAGGAAUAUCAUGUGUGAAAGAGUUCCUACGGCUGUUUGUCACUGAUCCAUCUCUUUUACGUAAGAUGCUGGCUUGUGGGAACAACAUAUGGGAGAAAAUAACUGAACACGUGAGCACUUGUCCGUUAGACAACAGCGAGUGGUACGUAUACAACGC
rnacentral:misc_RNA from 1 species